rnacentral:lncRNA from 1 species
CUCUACUUAGGGUCCUUCCUGGAAAUGGUGGUUUGACCUUAGCUGUCCUUGCCUCCAUAACCAUCCUGCUGACGUUCCCAAUGGCUGUUAAGCUUUUUGGCUGGGGAAAAAAACAAACUCUUUUCUGGAAGAAAGUAUUAGGUGCUCUUCCAGCUCCCAGAUGGUUGGAUCUUGCAGUGUAAUGUCAGGGACCUCCUAAGGUUUGUUUGUUUGUUUGUUUCUUAUUGUCAAGGAAUGCCAGCACUUUGCCUUCCACUCUAAUACCAUUAAUGGAGAACAUAUUCUUUAAACAUGGAACAUACGUUCACUAAAAUCAAUUCAUAUAGAAAAAUGCAGCACUUUUCAGGAGGAAGGAGAUUAAGGAGAUUUGCAACCUGAGGAAUAAUUGACUUGUGCAUACCUCCUCCAUCCAAAGGAUCAG